rnacentral:rRNA from 1 species
UGGCGACCGGCGCACGGGUGAGUAACACGUAUCCAACCUGCCGAUGACUCGGGGAUAGCCUUUCGAAAGAAAGAUUAAUACCCGAUGGCAUAGUUCUUCCGCAUGGUAGAACUAUUAAAGAAUUUCGGUCAUCGAUGGGGAUGCGUUCCAUUAGCUUGUUGGCGGGGUAACGGCCCACCAAGGCAUCGAUGGAUAGGGGUUCUGAGAGGGAGGUCCCCCACAUUGGAACUGAGACACGGUCCAAACUCCUACGGAAGGCAGCAG